rnacentral:lncRNA from 1 species
GCCGCGCAGGCGCCGGGCGGGCCAGACGUAGGCCCGGGGGUUCCCGGCCUGGCCGGGUAGCAGCGCGGGGGCGGCCCUGGGGCGGGGAGACAGGGGGCGGCUCCACUCCGGCGCUCUGCGGAGGACAGCAGCGAUCGCCAAGGCUCAGUGAGUCCCCGCACUAGCGCGGCACCUGGCACUUGGCGGGGCCGAACCAACGAAUGAGCGAAUUUGCCGAGAGUCGCCCCGUCUGAAUCCAUUGACUCUUUCCUUGCCUCGGUCCUACCCUCAUUCCUCGACUCACUUCCUCCUGCCCUUCCUCACUAUCUCCCUCCCCGCUCAUAUCCUCCCUCUCCUUUCCUCAUUCCCUUCUUCACUCUCUUCUCUCCUCUCUUACUCCCCCCCUCUCAUUCCCUCCCUCCUUCACUCUCUCAUUCCUUCCCUUCCUAUCUUACCCACCAUUCCCUUCCUCCCUCACUCAUUCACUCCCUCCCUGUCUCCCCCUCUCAUCCCCUCCCUCUCUCAUUCCCUUUCCCUCCCUCCUUAACUCUCGUUCUCUCCUCCCUCUCUCAUUCCUUCCCUCCCUGUCUCAUUUCCCCCCUUCUUUCCCUCCCUCCCUCUCCUCUUCUCCCAUUGCCUCCCUCCCUCUUUGAUUCCCUUCUUUCCUCCUCUCCUCCACUUGUUCCCUUCGUCACGCGCUCAUUCCCUCCCUCCCGCGGCCUGCUCCUUCCCCGCUCCCUCCGCGGUCGGUGCCGCUGACCGUAGCGCGCCCCCUGCGGGAUAUCGGGGAGAAUCGCUUAACACCGCCAGAGUGAACAGGUGCUAGUUUGUGUGCCCGUUCCUUUACUGAGAUUUUGCAGUAAAUCUAAUUCCCAGUCUUAAAGCCUGGUCCCAGAGGUCCGUGCGCGGGUCUUGGCAUUCAUUGUUCUCCACCUCACCUUCGAGCAGGUCCCAUCCUCCGAGGCGUAUCCGUAAUGGCUGCGCCCAGAGCUUGGAGCCACAGAGCCUCCUGAUGGGAUAAGGUUGGAGUGUCCCACACUGUGGUUUUGAGAGGGACUGUGAAGGGUGGAGAGAGUGGUAGGGGGAGGAUGUGGCUGGAGAUGGCUCAUGGUUAAAAAGAAAGGUGGGGCCGGGCUUGGUGGCUGGCGCCUGUAAUCCCAACACUUUGGGAGGCCGAGACGGGCGGAUCACGAGGUCAGGAGAUGGAAACCAUCCUGGCCAACAUGGUGAAACCCCAUCUCUACCAAAACACACACAAAAAAACUAGCCGGUCGUGGUGGCGCGCACCUGUAGUCCCAGCUACUCGGGAGCCUGAGGCAGGAGAAUCGCUUGAACCCGGGAGGCAGAGGUUGCAGUGAGCCGAGAUCACGCGCCACUGCACUCCAGCCUGGUGACAGAGCGAGACUCCGUCUCAAAAAAAAAAAAAAAAAAAAAAAAAAAAAUUGGUGGAAGGGGAAUGUAAAAGGAGGAAAAUACACGGAAGAGAAUUGCUGUCCUGGCUGAGUCCAGAGAGAUAACUGAGGGUCCCAGACAAGGAUCAAGAGAACGGGAUUGGCCUCCAGAGGCAGAGGUUCCAAAUGGGAGUGGGCUUCCUCCUAGAAAGACUUUCUGGAGGAGACCCCCCUACUGUGUAACAGAGGAGGACUUUGGGAUUAAGAAAAGCAUUCCAGGAAGCCGACAGUGUCAGCAAACGUGGAGGUGAGAUCCUUCAAAGUGAGUGGUGUGGAGGUUUCCAGAAUUUUCUGAGCCUGAAGGGAAGGUUGGAGAGCAGACCCUGCCCUUUGGAGGCUUGACUUAGCCCUGAGGGCACCCUGUAGCCAGGGUGGGCAGAUGCCAAUAUGGUAGAGACGAAGACUGAGUAGGGAGCCAGCCACAGUGCUGUGGUCUCAGGCAGGGAGUGAAGACCAGAGUGGAGCAGGCUAGAAACCUGGGAAGGAAGCAGGUUCCCCAGUAUAAGCCCAGUGAUGUGUGAAGAAUGAGCCCAGGAGAUGGGUGGGGAAGUAGGCCCACCCUGCCUACAGGGGAGCCAGAGCAAGAGCAGGUCUGGGGGAAGAUGAGGCCCCCCUUGGCUCCAGGUAGGGGAAGACUGACCUCCAAGGCCCAAUGGGACCAGGUGUACGGGUGGACCCAGAGAGGAGAGGAAAAGGAAUCCUGGGGCAGCAACAAGAAGGCCACUGUGGUCUGAAUGUCGGUACCCCCAAAAUUCAUAUGUUGGAACUGAAUCCUCAGUGCGAUACUAUUAUAAAGUAGGGCCUUUGGGAGGGGUUUAGGUCAUGAGGGUGAAGUCCUCACCAUGGGAUCAGUGUAUAAAAGAGGUUCGAAGGAGCUCAUCCCCCACUUUUGCCAGGUGAGGACACUGUAAUAAGCACCAUCUUCAAGGCAGAGAAUCGGCUGGGCGCAGUGGCUCACGCCUGUAAUCCCAGCACUUUGGGAAGCCGAGGUGGGAGGAUCAUGAGGUCAGGAGAUCAAGACCAUCCUGGCUAACAUGGUGAAACCCCAUCUCUACUAAAAAUACAAAAAAUUAGCCAGGCAUGGUGGUGGGCGCCUGUAGUCCCAGCUACUUGGGAGGCUGAGGCAGGAGAAUGGCGUGAACCCGGGAGGCAGAGCUUGCAGUGAGCUGAGAUCGCGCCACUGCACUCCAGCCUGGGUGACAGAGCAAGACUCCGUCUCAAAAAAAAAAAGCAGAGAACGGACCCCUCACUAGACACUGGGGCUUUUUUCUGAAGGCUACUGUGUCAUAUAAAAUUUAUAUUAAAUAAAUUGAUAUGCUUUUCUCUUGUUAAUCUGUCCUUUGUUAGAGGGGUGUCAACCAGGAACCUUGUGAUGCGUGAGGAAAAAAUAUUACCUUUUCCCCCUACUCUUUCUGGCACCCAACAAACAAGUGGGGUGGCAAAGACACCCCACUUGGGACAACUGGCAAAAGCUCUAUGAUCAGAAGAUGGCAUAAGUGGGGCUGGGCACAGUGGCUCAGUGCCCAGCUGGGAUUACGCCUGUAAUACCAGCACUUUGGGAGGCCAAGGUGAGUGGAUCACGAGGUCAGGAGUUGAAGACCAGCCUGGCCAACAUGGAGAAACCCCGUCUCUACUAAAAAUACAAAAAAUUAGCCGGGCGCGGUGGCAGGUGCCUGUAAUCCCAGCUACUCGGGAGGCUGAGGCAGGAGAAUAGCUUGAACUCAGAGGGCGGAGGUUGCAGUGAGCCAAGGUUGCGCCACUGCACUCCAGCCUGGGCGACAGAGUGAGACUCCGUCUCUAAAAAACAAAAAAGAAGAUGGCGUAAUCAGAAGUUGAUAUUCUGUCUAUUGGAUCCUGCUUCUCCCCUGGGGUCUUCUUGGUUCCCUGAAGCCCCUCUUCCGGAGUCCCUGCCCUCUAUCGGCUCUGCCUCCUGCUUCUUUUCUGUAUUGCCAUGAUUUUUGCUAAGGAUAAAGGACAACUUCAUUGGCUUCUUUGGGAAACUUGCAAUCUCCCCAAACAGGCCCCUCUGAGAUUUCUCCUUUCCAUUUGCUUCUGCUCCCCCUUCCUCCUUUUGCCACCUUCGAUAUUUUCUCCAGUUUCCUUGAUUCCUUUGAUACGUCCCCAUUCAGGCCACUCUGGCCCUCCAUCCAACCUGCCAGAACUUUUUCCACUUCAGCACUUCAGUCACUUAAACAUUAGGGCUCCCUGCCCUAAAGGGACUCAAAAUCCUGCAAAAACAACCACCUAAGGAUAAAAAGAGAAAAAAUGAAACUGUUUGGAAACUGGGCAAAUGAAUACUCUUUUAAAAGUCUUUUUCUGGGGGCCAGGUGUGGUGGCUCACGCCUGUAAUCCCAGCACUUUGGGAGGCCGAGGCGGGCAGAUCACAAGGUCAGGAGUUCAAGACCAGCCUGGCCAAUAUGGUGAAACCCCGUCUCUCCUAAUGAUACAAAAAAAAUUAGCCAGGUGUGGUGGCAUUCGCCUGUAGUCCCAGCUACUUGGGAGGCUGAGGAAGGAGAAUCGCUUGAACCCGGGAGGCGGAGGUUGCAGUGAGCCAAGAUUGCACCACUGCACCAGCCUGGCGACAGAGCAAGAAGACUCCAUCUCGAAAAAUAUAUA